UACGGGGGGGGGCAAGCGUUGUUCGGAAUUACUGGGCGUAAAGGGCUCGUAGGUGGCCAACUAAGUCAGACGUGAAAUCCCUCGGCUUAACCGGGGAACUGCGUCUGAUACUGGAUGGCUUGAGUUUGGGAGAGGGACGCGGAAUUCCAGGUGUAGCGGUGAAAUGCGUAGAUAUCUGGAGGAACACCGGUGGCGAAGGCGGCGUCCUGGACCAACACUGACACUGAGGAGCGAAAGCCAGGGGAGCAAACGGGAUAGAAACCCGGG
rnacentral:rRNA from 1 species